UUAAGUUCAGCGGGUGGUCCUACUCGAUUUGAGGUCAAGUUGUCAGUUGUUGUCCGAAGACAGUUCGAAAGCACAGAGCUCCUGAUCAGCCACCCUCUUGCGAGGCGCCGGCGAAGACACUUAUCACGCCGUACUAUGUCCAAUCAAGAGAUGCACUAACAUAUUUCAGGUGAGCCACAGUCAAGCAGCAACACCCAAGU
rnacentral:misc_RNA from 1 species